CGCGCGGGGCGGGGCGGGGCGCGCCGGGGCGGGGCGGGGCUGCAUCCCGGUGACGCGAGCCAACUGCGCGGCGCUGCGCCUCCUAGCUCCGCCGGCCGCCCUCAUGGCGCUGAGCAGCUUCUGCAGCUCUGAUGGCUCCGAUCCGCUCUGGGAUUGGAAUGUCACAUGGCACACCAGCAACCCUGACUUUACCAAGUGCUUUCAGAAUACGGUCCUCACAUGGGUGCCUUGUUUCUACCUCUGGUCCUGUUUCCCCCUCUACUUCCUCUAUCUCUCUCGACAUGACCGGGGCUACAUCCAGAUGACACACCUCAACAAAGCCAAAACUGCCUUAGGAUUCUUUCUGUGGAUCAUCUGCUGGGCAGACCUCUUCUACUCUUUCUGGGAAAGAAGUCAGGGAAUGCUCCUAGCCCCGGUGCUACUGGUCAGCCCGACACUGCUAGGCAUCACCAUGCUGCUCGCCACCUUUUUAAUUCAGUUUGAGCGAAGGAAAGGAGUCCAGUCCUCAGGGAUAAUGCUUACUUUCUGGCUUGUAGCCCUACUCUGCGCCCUUGCCAUCUUGAGAUCUAAGAUCAUCUCUGCCUUAAAAAAGGAUGCUCAAGUGGACAUGUUUCGAGAUUCUGCAUUCUAUCUCUACUUCACCCUCGUGUUCAUUCAGCUUGUGCUGUCCUGCUUCUCAGACAGCUCACCCUUGUUCUCUGAAACUGUCCGUGACCCGAAUCCAUGUCCAGAAUCGAGUGCCUCUUUUCUUUCCAGGAUCACUUUUUGGUGGAUUACAGGGAUGAUGGUGCAGGGCUACCGCCAGCCCCUGAAGAGCAGUGACCUCUGGUCAUUGAAUAAAGAGGACACGUCAGAAGAAGUGGUACCUGUGCUGGUGAAUAACUGGAAGAAGGAAUGUGUUAAGUCGAGGAAGCAGCCUGUACGGAUUGUGUAUGCCCCUCCCAAAGAUCCCACCAAGCCUAAGGGAAGUUCUCAGUUGGAUGUGAAUGAGGAAGUGGAGGCACUGAUUGUCAAGUCAUCCCACAAGGACCGGGACCCCUCUCUGUUCAAGGUGUUGUACAAGACCUUUGGGCCCUACUUCCUCAUGAGCUUCCUGUACAAGGCCCUUCAUGACCUGAUGAUGUUUGCUGGCCCUGAGAUCUUGGAAUUGAUUAUCAACUUCGUGAAUGACAGGGAGGCCCCUGACUGGCAGGGCUACUUGUACACAGCACUGCUGUUUGUCAGUGCCUGUCUGCAGACACUGGCACUCCACCAGUACUUUCAUAUCUGCUUCGUCACCGGCAUGCGCAUCAAGACUGCUGUGGUGGGUGCUGUUUACCGCAAGGCUCUUGUGAUCACCAAUUCAGCUAGAAAAUCGUCCACAGUUGGAGAGAUUGUCAACCUCAUGUCCGUGGAUGCCCAGCGCUUCAUGGACUUGGCCACGUAUAUUAACAUGAUCUGGUCAGCCCCUCUGCAAGUCACCCUAGCCCUCUACUUCCUGUGGCUGAACCUGGGCCCUUCUGUGCUGGCUGGGGUGGCUGUUAUGAUCCUCAUGGUGCCCUUCAAUGCUGUGAUGGCCAUGAAGACCAAGACUUACCAGGUGGCACACAUGAAGAGCAAAGACAACCGAAUCAAGCUGAUGAACGAGAUCCUCAAUGGGAUCAAAGUACUCAAAUUGUACGCCUGGGAGCUGGCUUUCCAGGACAAAGUUAUGAACAUCAGGCAGGAGGAGCUGAAGGUGCUGAAGAAAUCCGCCUACCUGGCGGCUGUGGGCACAUUCACAUGGGUUUGCACACCUUUCCUGGUGGCUCUGUCAACCUUUGCUGUCUUUGUGACUGUGGACGAGAAGAACAUCCUAGAUGCAAAGAAAGCCUUUGUAUCCCUAGCCCUGUUCAAUAUCUUGCGCUUCCCACUCAACAUCCUACCCAUGGUCAUCAGCAGCAUUGUGCAGGCCAGCGUGUCCCUCAAGCGUCUCAGGAUCUUUCUGUCUCACGAGGAGCUGGAGCCAGACAGCAUCGAGCGAUGGUCGAUCAAGGAUGGUGGAGGGAUGAAUAGCAUCACUGUGAAGAAUGCAACCUUCACUUGGGCCAGGGAUGAACCUCCCACACUGAAUGGCAUCACCUUCGCCAUCCCUGAUGGAGCCCUUGUGGCCGUGGUGGGCCAGGUAGGCUGUGGGAAGUCAUCUCUGCUGUCAGCCCUGCUGGCUGAGAUGGACAAAGUGGAGGGACAUGUGACUCUCAAGGGCUCCGUGGCCUAUGUGCCCCAGCAGGCCUGGAUUCAGAAUGACUCUCUCCGAGAGAACAUACUGUUUGGGCGCCCCCUGCAGGAACAUUGCUACAAGGCGGUGAUGGAAGCCUGUGCCCUCCUUCCGGAUUUGGAAAUCCUUCCCAGUGGGGACCUCACAGAGAUUGGUGAGAAGGGUGUGAACCUGUCGGGGGGCCAGAAGCAGCGUGUGAGCCUGGCUCGGGCUGUGUAUUGUAACUCUGACAUCUACCUCUUGGACGACCCCCUCUCGGCUGUGGAUGCACAUGUUGGGAAGCACAUCUUUGAGAAGGUGGUGGGUCCCAUGGGCCUACUGAAGAACAAGACACGGAUCCUGGUCACCCAUGGUAUCAGCUACCUGCCCCAAGUGGAUGUCAUCAUUGUCAUGAGUGGCGGCAAGAUCUCAGAGAUGGGAUCUUAUCAGGAGCUGCUAGACCGGGAUGGGGCCUUUGCUGAGUUCGUGCGCACCUAUGCCAACACUGAGCAGGACCUGGCUUCAGAGGAUGACAGUAAGAAUGGUGUCAGUGGUUUAGGGAAGGAGUCAAAGCCGGUGGAAAAUGGGAUACUGGUGACAGACGCAGUAGGGAAGCCCCUGCAGAGGCAUCUCAGCAACUCUUCUUCCCACAGUGUGGUUACUAACCAGCAGCACAGCAGCACAGCCGAGCUGCAGAAGUCUGGAGUUAAGGAGGAGACUUGGAAGCUGAUGGAAGCAGACAAGGCCCAGACAGGGCAGGUGAAGCUUUCCGUGUACUGGAACUACAUGAAGGCCAUUGGCCUCUGCAUCUCCUUCUUGAGUAUCUUCCUUUUCCUGUGCAAUCAUGUAUCUGCACUGGCUUCUAACUAUUGGCUGAGUCUCUGGACAGAUGACCGCCCUGCUGUCAAUGGGACUCAGGAGAACAGGAAUUUUCGACUAAGUGUCUAUGGGGCCUUGGGCAUCUUGCAAGGUGUGGCAGUAUUUGGCUAUUCCAUGGCUGUGUCCAUUGGGGGCAUCUUUGCCUCCCGUCGCCUGCACCUAGACCUGCUACAGAAUGUCCUGCGAUCACCCAUGAGUUUCUUUGAGCGUACACCCAGUGGGAACCUAGUGAACCGAUUCUCCAAGGAGUUGGACACAGUGGACUCCAUGAUCCCGCAGGUCAUCAAGAUGUUCAUGGGUUCACUCUUCAGUGUCAUUGGAGCUGUCAUCAUCAUCCUACUGGCUACGCCCAUUGCCGCAGUCAUCAUCCCACCCUUGGGUCUGGUUUACUUCUUUGUGCAGAGGUUCUAUGUGGCCUCCUCUCGACAGCUGAAGCGCCUGGAGUCUGUCAGUCGUUCCCCUGUGUACUCACACUUCAAUGAGACCUUGCUGGGGGUCAGUGUCAUCCGUGCCUUUGAGGAACAGGAGCGCUUCAUUCGCCAAAGUGACCUGAAAGUAGAUGAGAACCAGAAGGCCUACUACCCCAGCAUUGUGGCCAACAGGUGGCUUGCUGUGCGCCUGGAGUGUGUGGGCAACUGCAUUGUGCUGUUUGCUGCCCUUUUCGCAGUCAUCUCCCGGCAUAGCCUCAGUGCUGGCUUGGUGGGUCUCUCUGUGUCUUACUCACUGCAGAUAACUGCAUACUUGAACUGGCUAGUUCGAAUGUCCUCUGAGAUGGAGACCAACAUUGUGGCAGUGGAGAGACUGAAGGAAUAUUCUGAAACGGAGAAGGAGGCUUCUUGGCAAAUCCAAGAGACAGCUCCACCCAGCACCUGGCCCCAUUCAGGCCGUGUAGAGUUCCGGGAUUACUGCUUGAGGUAUCGAGAAGACUUGGACUUGGUUCUCAAGCACAUAAAUGUCACCAUUGAGGGUGGAGAAAAGGUUGGUAUUGUGGGUCGUACAGGAGCUGGGAAAUCAUCUCUCACCCUGGGUUUGUUCCGGAUCAAUGAGUCUGCAGAAGGGGAGAUCAUCAUUGAUGGGAUAAACAUUGCUAAGAUUGGCCUGCACAACCUGCGCUUCAAGAUCACCAUCAUUCCACAGGAUCCUGUUUUGUUCUCGGGUUCCCUCCGCAUGAACCUGGACCCUUUCAGUCAGUAUUCUGAUGAAGAAGUCUGGAUGGCUCUGGAGCUUGCUCACCUGAAGGGCUUUGUGUCAGCCUUGCCUGACAAGCUGAACCAUGAGUGUGCAGAAGGUGGAGAGAAUCUGAGUGUGGGGCAGCGACAGCUUGUGUGCCUGGCCCGGGCUUUGCUGAGGAAGACAAAGAUUCUAGUGUUGGACGAGGCUACAGCAGCUGUGGAUCUGGAGACAGAUGACCUUAUUCAGUCCACCAUCCGGACGCAGUUUGAAGACAGUACUGUGCUCACUAUUGCUCAUCGGCUGAAUACCAUAAUGGACUAUACAAGGGUGAUUGUCCUGGACAAAGGAGAAAUUCGGGAGUGUGGUGCACCCUCUGAGCUCCUGCAGCAAAGAGGCGUCUUCUAUAGCAUGGCCAAGGAUGCUGGCUUGGUGUGAACUGAUCUCUGGCAUAUCUGAUGAGGACUGCAGGGCCAGGAUCCCAGUGUCCAGGCAUGAGCCAGCAACCCUGGAAACCUACACUCCCCAGAGAAAAACCAAAAAUUGAAAGAAAACCAAACUAAAAGGAAGCAAAACACAUAAAGCAUCAGUCACAGUUUGCCCCAGCCUGGAUCUGACCUCGAAGAAGCCUGAAGACAGAUGUGCCCCACUUCAAACACGUCUGGCUUCUGGCACCACUUGUGAGGCUCCCUGAAAGUUCACCCAUGCUCCUGCUGUAUCCCAAAGCAAGGCCAUGAGCAGCCAAACACACUAGUGACCAAACACAAGCCACUGCCUCAUGCCUCUUCAGCCACAUUUAUAGAGGCCAAGCCAGAGCCUCUCCUGGCCCUGCCAGCUCUUCUGUCUCCUACAGUCCUGUUGGUGACAGAAGAGUGUAUCUUGCCUUCAGGUCUUGCAGUUGAAAGCAUGGAAACCAAAACAAACAAACAAAAAAGAGAGAAAGAAAGAAAACUCCUAAAAAUCCUGUCCCUGUUAUGUCAGUGAUGUCCCCUUCCUGCCAUCUGGUCUUCACACACUCUGACACCGUUCCCUACAUUCAGCAGUGUUCACAGUAUGAGCUGUAGACACAGCUUUGUGAAGGGACCUGGUCAAACAGGCUUAGAACCAGGCCAGGCAACACUCCCUUCACAAGGACUUCUACCCUGCCCCUGCUUUCCGUUUCUUUCUGUCUGUAGGUGGAGAGGGCUCAUGCCUCACAUAACAUAUGAAUAGUUAUAAGCAGCAAAAGUCAAGAGCAGGAGGGAUGAACUGGCAAGAAUCUGGUAUCAAAGACUGCCAGAGUCUCCUAUAGGACAAGAAGAGAACCAUUCACAAAUAUCAAUGAUUUCUACCCCCUACUUUUGAGCAUUGUUUCUGGAAGAAAGAUAGUCCCAAGAAUUUGAUGUCUAGGAAGGAGGUACUAUACUAGAUUCAGGAAGCGGCCAUGCCCAGCUCUGUACUUGAUCCUCAGUCUGAAUACUUCAAAGUGGUUCUCUAGGUGUGUGGGUUACAGACCAAAGAGAGACCCCCAUGGGCAGCAAGAACUUGAUUCCAGCCACAGUUCAUACUUGCUAUGAAUUUUGGCUCUGAUUUUGGUCCCAGAGAAGUGGGUGGCGAUAUAUAUAUAUAUUUGAUGUUAUACAUAUAUAUUUAACAAGUUUGCAUACAUGACAGAACAACAUAAAAUAUAGCCUUUAACAUCCAGAAACACCUGAGUCAGGUCCCAAGACAGGUUGAGCACAGGCUCUAUAACAGUGGUUGGGGAUCUGAACCCCACAUAGGCUUCAGGAGGCUUAAUUAAGACAGGAGGGCCUUGAAUGGGUGUCUCUUUAAGAAAAACAGUCUACACAAAUCUUUAUUUUGACACUAAAAGAUUACAUAUCCAUUCCAACAGCUUUUCCUGUCCUGGCGACCCAAUAAGUUACACACUGGCACUUGGAGGCUAAUACGCAGGUGAUCACUGGUAACUUCCCACGGAGACUCCCAGAAGGACACCUUGGGGCAUAGGCUGGGGGGACAGCUGCAGUGGAACCUUCCUUCCAGAUUACUACAUCAGAAAAAGCAGCAUGGUUCUUGGGGGCUGGGCAACAGGUGGGACUUCCUGGAUCCAAGGCCAAGGUCUAGUUGCUCAGCAAGGCACUCUGAGGGCAGCGAUGAUGGUUCCGGUGCCUUCAAUGGGGCCUUUCUCACAGUUGCACAAUGCCCAUGGCUCCAGAUUCCCUAAGAUUAUUUGCUAGUUGCCUCUUUGCUACUGUGGCCAGUUGGAGGUUUUGAGGAAUUAGCUUUGAUCCAAGGGUACUCAAGGACUUCUGCUAAUGUUAGCCUUUGGCUUGAGUUGUGUUUUAACUGUCAUGAAAUGAGGUCCCUGGCUCCCUCUGUCACAAAGUCAGGGAAUGUGAAUUCAACCCGUGAUAUCCUUCUGUAGGUCUCCUGAUAAGUGUGUGUCUCAAAGGUAUCCCCUCAAAGGUAUCCCCACUAGGAAUUCAUAGCAGAGCACACCCAGGCUCCAGAGAUCCACCUCCUCAUCAUGCAUCUGCCCUUCAAUCAUCUCCGGGGGCAGGUAGUCCACGGUGCAGUACAGCGUGGGUCUCCUGGAAGAUGGAGCAUGCGCAGACCACCCGAAGUCUGCGAGCUUCAACUCCCCAUUUGAGCCAAGCAGCGGGUUCUCUGGCUUGAUGUCUCUGUGGAUGACUCUCUUUGAAUGGCACUAGGACAAAGCAUUCGCCAACUCCGUGAUGUAGGUAGCUAUUCUCUGCUCGUCAAACUUGGAGAGUUUUUGAAGCUCUCUAUACACUGUUCCAAGGGGCGCAUAUUCUAGAAUUAGAUAAACUCUGGUGGCGUCAUGGGAAUACCCAUACAACCCGAGGAUGUUGGGGUGCCGCAGGUGGGACUGGAUCUCCACUUCUCUCCGAAGCUGGUGCUCCACACCUGCUUCUCCAGCUGUACUUUAAACAGCAUCUUCAGAGCCAGGAUGAACUUGCUUUGCUUCUCCCUCGCCAAAUAGACAUUUCCAAACUUCCCUUUUCCUAGUGGGCGGCCAAUGUCAAAAUCUUCCAAAGUCCACUCCCUUCUUUUUGAGUCUUCAGUUUUCUGGAUGGAUGUCUGUUCCUUUUCAGAAUUUCCCGAGGCUGCAGGCUGUGGCUGCUCACUCUUCUGGGGGGUUACUUAGCCGGGACACAGGUCGAGGAACGCUGGCAGCUGGCAACUGCUUUAGCACUGACUUCUGACCUGCGACAGGUUUCUGUGCUUGUGGAGGGACACGCUGGGAGUUGGAAGGACACAGGACCCACUGGGCCUGGCCACUGCUCGCUGAUCCUGGGUGCUGAGAAGGAAUCUGCUCAGUCACCAAGACUCGUUUCGGACCGAAGGGAACUGUGGUCUUAACAGGCCUGGAGACAGUUUUCUUUACAUCUGUCCAUGUCACCCCGGUGCCACUCAACCUUCGGUUUGCAGCAUCCAGGCUCGUCCUCACCAGCCCGGUCCCCUUCCGACUCACAGAGGAAUCUAGAUUGGGCACCUUGUGGCACAUUGAAGGCCCCUGGGUCUCUGUCAUCUACCGCCACUGCAGGAUCUAUGUCUCGCUCCAAGGGGGCUGUCAAAGAGUCCCAACCCAGUACCAGGCCUCACCUGAAGGAUGAUGGUGAUUAAGGACCACAGUAUGGUGCAGCCCCACAUGGGUGACGGAGACCCUCUUACAGAGACCAUCCUCGGUUGCCAACUGAAGCUGCAGCAAGUUCCAGCCAAGGAGGAUUUCCUGGCCUCUGUCCUGCCCACAAUGCCCACCUGCCAGAUAAUAGGAGGGUGAAAGGCUCCUGGUUUGCUACUAGCACCUCUGUAUUGGACAUGCUCUGGAUGUGUCUCUCAGGAGAGAUCUAUAUCCAGUCCCUUUCAGCAUGCAUUUUUUAGCUUCAUCAAUCUUAUCUAGUUUUGGUGGCUGUGUGUGUGUGUGUGUGUGUGUGUGUGUGUGUGUGUGUGUGUGUGUGUAUGGGCCACAUGUGGGGCAGGCUCUGAUUGGCCGUUCCUUGAAUCACUGCUCUAAACUUUGCUUCCAUAUCCCCUCCUAUGGGUAUUUUUUCCCCUUUUAAGAAGGAGUGGGGGGGGGUGGUUGGGGAUUUAGCUCAGUGGUAGAGCGCUUGCCUAGGAAGCGCAAGGCCCUGGGUUCGGUCCCCAGUUCCGAAAAAAAAAGAACCAAAAAAAAAAAAAAAAAAGGAGUGGGAGCAUCCGAAUUUUGGUCAUCCUUCUUCUUGAGCUUCCUUUGAUCUGUGGAUUGCAUCUUGGGUAAUUCGAGCUUUUUGGUUAAUAUCCACUUAUUAAUGAAUGCAUACCAAGUGUGUUUUUCUGUGAUUGAGUUACCUUACUCAGGAUAUUUUCUAGUUCAUUUUAUUUGCCUACGAAUUUCAUGAAGUCAUUGUUUUUGAUAGCUGAGUAGUACUCCAUUGUGUAGAUGUACCACAUUUUUUGAAUCCAUUCCUCUGUUGAAGGGCAUCUGGGUUCUUUCUAGCUUCUGGCUAUUAUAAAUAAGGCUGCUAUGAACAUAGUGGAGCAUGUGUCUUUGUUGUAUGCUGGAGAAUCUUUUGGGUAUAUACCCAGGAGAGGUAUAUCUGGGUCCUCAUGUAGUAGAAUGUCCAAUUUUCUGAGGAAUCUCCAGAUGAUUUCCAGAAUGGUUGUACCAGUUUGCAAUCCCACCAACAAUGGAGGAGUGUUCCUCUUUCUCCACAUCCACGCCAGCAUCUGCUGUCACCUGAGUUUUUUAUCUUAGCCAUUCUGCCUGGUGUGAGGUGGAAUCUCGGGGUUGUUUUGAUUUGCCUUUCCCUGAUGACUAAGGAUGUUGAACAUUUCUUUAAGUGCUUUUUGGCCAUUCAAUAAUCCUCAGCUGAGAAUGGUUUGUUUAGUUUUGUACCCCAUUUUUAAUAGGGUUAUUUGGCUCUCUGGAGUCUAACUUCUUGUGUUCUUUGUAUAUUUUGGAUAUUAGCCCUCUAUCAGAUGUAGGAUUGGUAAAGAUCUUCUUCCCUCAGACAUCUCUGUAGAAAAAAAAAAUGACUGUUGUUUCAGCAAUGUUUAUCAUUGAUCACAUGUUAACCUCUCACUUUAUUUACAUUUUAAAUACUUUUUCUUCUGUAUUGUUAACUUAGAAUGGCAGAGCAGAAAUGUUGACACCACUGCCCUCUUCUCUUGCACACUACAAGUACUUGAUCUUUGGACAAAUUGUGUCUCAUGACUGGAAUUUUUUAUUGGUUAUUUUAUUUAUUUACAUUUUAAAUGUUUUCCCCUUUCUGGGCUUCUCCUCCACAAGCUCCCUACCACUUACCCCUUUACCCUGCUCCCAUGAGGGUACUCUCCCAUUCACACCAACUCCUCCCUCCUCUCUGCCCUGGUAUUCUUCUACCCUGAGAUGUCCAGCCUCCACAGAAACAAGCUGUGCUGCCCCUUCCCCCCCACCAUUGAUGUGAGAUAAGACCAUCCUCUGCUACAUAUACAGCUGGAGCCAUGGGUCCCUCCCUCCAUGUGUACUCUUUGGUUGGUGGUUUACUCUUUGGUAGCCCUGGGAUGUCUGGUUGGUAGAUAUUGUUAUUCCUAUGGGGUUGCAAACUUCUUAUGUUCCUUCAGUCCUUCCCCUAACUCUACCAUUGGGGUUCCUGCGCUCAGUCUGAUAGUUAGCUGCAAGAGUCAGUGUCUGUGUUGGUAAAGAACUUGCAGAACCUCUCAGGAGACAUCUAUGGGGUCCUGUCAGCAAGCAUUUUUUGACAUCAGUAAUAGUGUCUCAGUUUGGUGUUUGCAUGCAUGAUGGAUGACCAGGUGAGGCAGUCUCUGGAUGGUCUUUCCUUCAGCCUCUACUCUACAAUUUGUCCCUGUAUUUCCUUUAGACAAGAGCAGUUAUGGAUUAAUAUUUUUGAGAUGAGUGAGUGGCUCCAUCCCUUAACCGGAGGCCAUGACUAACCUCUGGGAAUAGUCUCUACAUCUUCUCUCUCCCCUUUGUUGGGUAUUUCAGAUAAUAUCUCCAUUGGGUCUUGGGAGUCUCUUGCUUUCCUGGCACCUGGGACUUUCUGGUGGCUAUCUCUAGUUCUGCAUUCCCUCACUGCUCCACACCUCUGUUCAAUCUCCCCAAUCUGUUCAAUCUGUGGGAAGGUCUCUUCCCACAGAAUCUUUUAUGGUUUCCUAUCCGACUGCCAGAGAACUUAGUUUUCAAAAGUAAGGCAGUGUACCAUUAUAAAGGUAUCUUACACAUCCUAAUACACUGGGAUUUUUGCUGCACUUCACAGACAAUGUUAUUGAUACAACUUGAGGUCACUUAAGGCUGUUAUCCUAUACUGUGAACUCAGCCUGCUUGUCUUACCUGCCUCUAAGAGAUCAAUGUAACAAUCAACCUUACUUACCUUGGAUUUAAAAAGUAAUUAGCAUUUAUAACUUAAGAUAAUAACAGCUUUAAUCUUAAAUAUGUGUUCCUCUUUGGGGGUGAAAGAGAGAGCAAUGCAUGUAUAAAUAUAUGAGUGUGUGGAAAAAGGACAACAAAGCCUUAUAAAAUUAAUUUUACCACAAAUGCUGUACACAACAUACAAAUAUUGCUUAGCUGUGUUGGUUUAUGUGGGUCAGUUGUGGUCAGUUGAAGUCAAUGGCUCUAAAACUUUGUUAACAUUUGCUAUGCAGUAAUUGUAUUUUCUUCCCCAUAUGCUGCUUUUGUUGCUAUUCAAUAAAACAAAGAGCAGAGUUCAUCGUUAAGAAGAAACUCACACACACACACACACACACACACACACACACACACACACACACACGGACACAGACACAGACAUGGACACUGACAGGUACACCAACACAGAAACUGAACCAAACAGAAAAGACCAUAUUCAGGCAGACACAACCCAGACUCUUACAAGGGACAGAGAGAACCAUGAAAGGCACUUGGAUAUAGAAGUAGAGAAUUCAAAUCUCGGUUCCUUUUAGUUAAAUUACACCAAGUAGAAUUACUUUAUAAAUUUGUUUCUUUAAUAUGGCACCCACCACAUUAUUGGUGAAUGCGUUUACUAUUUGCUUUGAAACUGACACAUUAUGAUGCCUAAUGAGAAGAAUCUCUAGUGUGUUAAAUAUACACAAAAAGUCCUCAGAGUAAAACACAAUUCUACCUAGUCAUUUUAAGGGUUUAUAUUAGUCAUGUAUCUGUCCUAAUCUCAGCAAACAUGAAUAUUACACACAUCCUCUUAAAAGUUCAAGAUUCUUUAGGAAAGCAAUGUUUUCCAUGAGAGAAUACAAGGCACAUCUUAUAAUAUUGAGCACCUAAGGUGAUAUAUUACCAUGUCUUGAUAUACCAAGAUGUUUAAUCUGAAUACAUUUAAACAUACAUACAUGCAUACUUACAUACAUACAUGAAUAUACACAUACAUAUAUACAAUGCAGAGUAGCUUCUUAUGGAUUAAUGUAAUUUUACUCACUUUACAAGUAAAUUGAUUGGAUUAAGAACUGAAGCAAUGUACUUAGAUGAUGUCUCCAUUGACGAAGUGUUUGAUAAGCAAGCAUGAAGUCUUCAGUGAGUUUCUGGGAACUCUGAUAAAGCCAGAGGCACAGUGUGUGAACCUGCAAUACAGGAGCUCCUAAAAAAAUGAGAGGUAGAGACAAAAUAUUUUCCAAAGUUCAUAGACAAGCUAACUUGGUUUACCAGGAGAUACUGGAGAUACUGUUUCAAAUAUUGUGGUGUGCCAGCACCAAAACUCAAGGCUCUCCUAUGACAUCCAGAAGCCUGUUGUUGAAUGUUCUUCCAAGUACUUACACAUAGGGGCAUAUAUAUUACCAGGAAUUUGGGUGAGGAAUGGUUGUCUAAAGGUGCCACUGAGUCUGUUCUAUGGGAUAGACAAAGAAUUCUAUGUUCUGGGAACCACUCAAGUGUGAAAGUGAAAAGACAGAGGGAGGAGUCACUAAGUGUAAUACCUGCAUAUCAUAGAGAGGGGAUAACGAAAGUAAUCUGAGAGUGAAAGUGGUUGAGAUUUUCAGGGGCCUGGAUACAAAAAAUAUUUAUCAAUGCUGAGGGCACUGACACACAGAUAAUAAGUUGCAAAGCACCAGCCACAUAAAGAAAUAGAAAAAAAUCAUAUUUUUAUUACAAUAACUUCCAUCAAUGGAAUGAGGAAGAGUAGAGGUGAGAGUCCAAGUGUAUAAUGUGUUUCAGACUUUAUAUAUGCUACCCUAGGUCUCAUGGAUAUUCUCUCAUAGAUACUCCUGCCCUCACCACAAAGGGUAUGGGAGUAGACACAAUCCCUGGAGAAAGAAGAAGACAUUCUUGAAGGUCCAGUUCCUAUUUCACAGAUUGACUAAAUGUCCACUGCCUUUCCGUCACAAACAUACAUGGGCACACACAUACAUACAUGUAUAUGAAUACAUACACAUAUAAUUAUACAAACAUUUUACUUAUACAAACAAAUAUACACACAUAUACAUUUUUAAUGAACAAAGAGCCAAAGUAAUUUAAUAGACCAAAAUGAGAUUGAUUGACUUAAUGUCUGAAAGUUAAUUGGAAAUGAAAAGCUCAUAACAGCAGUAAUUACUUGUUGUUUCUUAGUUCUUUGGUUUAAGACCCAGGGUCUAUAAAUGUUCUGCCUGGAGGUUCAUGAAGCUACACGCUUCUGUACCAUGAGAUUUAAAUGGGGAUGGAGGAGACUUUGCUCUCUCAUGAGGCUGUACACAGAAGGGUUCAGUCUUUCACCACAUAGCUCUAUCUGGAGGUAGGCUUGACAAUGUGCACACGGUGACAGCUGGCUUAUCUCAGAGUGAGCAAUCUAAGAAUUCAUCAUGAAAGUUGUAAUUUUAUUAUGAACAUUGAAAAUCAUACCCCCCACAACAAUAUCUAUUGAUUCUACACAAAUAAAAAGACCAGCAAAAAGUUUACUUCAGAACAACACAGACGAAUAAAUUUCCAUGCAAAUGUCUCCAUACAAAGUCAUCUCUAAAAUUUUAACUACUUAAGCACAUUGUCAUUUAUAACAUACCUUUGUUGUGAGAAUUUUCAUGGGAACACAAGAACAAACAUCUCUUCAUCCCAGAUAGGUCACAAAUACAGACUGCAGAAAUGAUUCCUCCUAAGUCUAGCUAUGACCAGUGAGUUUAAUGAUGUUAUUUACAGAAGCACAGAAGAAAAGUUACUCAUAGGGGCAUAGGUGACUCAAAAGAUGUGUCACUGAAAAACUCACCCCAGCAUGGAUGUUGACAAACACAUACUAGAUCCAUACUUGCAGGCAGAUUAACUGGCUGAAGAAAGCUCCAUCCCAAACUAUUUGUUAGUGCUUCUAUAAACUGAGAUGAGGGUCUUAUGAUUUAUAAGUUUCAGAUGUUUCCUCAAACGUAUAAGCUUCCUUUACUUCCUGAACCUUAAACAAUUUAUUUUCUUCCUCAAUCUUAAGAUCCUGCUCCAUCUCUCUAGGAAAGCAUAUUUCAAUUCAAAGGAGAUAACAAAGCAACAACCUAGAUUACAGAUAAUUUCAUAUGAGUAUAACUGUUUCAAAUGCAAAUAAAAACCAAAUAUUUACCAUUUCUUUUCUUUAUGAGUGACAGCUAUUACUUUUUAAACUCUCUCUCUCUCUCUUUUUUUUUUUUUUGGUUCUUUUUUUCGGAGCUGGGGACCGAACCCAGGGCCUUGCGCUUCCUAGGUAAGCGCUCUACCACUGAGCUAAAUCCCCAGCCCCAGCUCUCUUAAAUAUAAGCUUUCUCUGUGUUGCUCAAAUAUGUAGCACAUGGUGUUUUAGAAAGUAUAACACACAGGAAUGUCUUGGGUAGUGCUGUGUCUUGGUACCUAUGGUGGGGAUUCAUACUGGCAAGUGAACUGAUUAUACAUUUCUUAGCUUCUCAAAUUCCAUUUGUUAUUUUUCUAUUAUUACCUGUAAAAUUUUUAGUUGUAAGUGAGGCUUAAGCAACAACUUAUUAAUUUGGUUUCCUGUAGUGCAGACAAUUUCAUUGCUAGGGAUCUACAAUGUUCCCUAUAAGAGUUGUGUAGAACUUAUGAAAAUGCUUGAUUUGCCUUUUUGAAGGAAAGAAAUUUUCCGUUUAUUUAUUGCUCAGCAUGUGCUCGCAUGCUCAAAAGUAUGCCAUGAGCCAAUGGACAUUUGAACAAUAGAAUCAAUGAAAAAUAUUUAAAGAUUCAGAGCAUGGAUGGGAUCAAAGCUGAGUCUGAUUUUAAUUAUUGUCACUAUAUAAAUCUUUUGUGAUCCCUGCAUCAAAGUGAUUAAUUAAGAGGCAGGACAGUCAGUAAAGAGCUUGACUCUCAAGCAUUAGAACCCAAGUUCAAUCUUCACUACCCAGGUAUAAUGUUCAACAUAGUAGUACAUGCAUACAUUCUCUAUACUAGGGAGGUGGUGUCAGUUGAAUCUCUGAGGCUAGAUAAAUGGAUAGCCUAGCCAGAUUCUCAAGUUCCAGGUCCCAUAAGAGGAUCUUGUCUAAAAAAUAAGUAAAGGAAUAAGGUAGAAAAUGAGGUGAUACUCUUGAUGUUAAUUUACCAGAGGAUAAUUUCUGGCAUUUACAUGUGCAUACUCAUACAUGUAUCUGUGCACAAAUGUGCAACACACCUAUAAAAAUGGAAGAAAAGGAGAAAUAUCAACUAAUAAUAAAAGCUCUUAACAAAUUUGGA